ACGAGGGUUUGCUGAAAGAAGAACAACAGUCACCAUUUAGAAAGAAAAAUAAUCACUUUAUAUUUUCAGUGAUCUUAAAGUUUAGUUUGCAAAUAUAUUUUAUACUUAUAUGACUAAAUUUUUCAUUUGCUGUUACAAAAGGGAAAAAUGAAUAGGAAAACAGUUUUUCACUUCUCAUUGCAAUCCUUCUUAUAGAUAUGUUUCACAAUCAAGUUAGAGUUGAAAUACUGGCAUCAAUUGUGGAUCUGGCCUAAUGGAACAGGCUGAAAACCAAAGAUCUAAUUACCCAGGGAGGGACAUGAAAUAAAAGAAAUUCUUGAUUUGACUUAGGUGCUAAGGUCAAGUUUUCAACCAGAAGACAAAAAUAAUUCAUCAAAGCAAAUAAGAAUACAAUUAGUAUUAUUGAUAAGAGUUCUCUAAGAGAAAGGUACUCACUCAAGAUAAAAUGAAUUUCUGACCAGAGCUCCUGUGUUUGAAGCACAGUUUUCAACUUUGAACAGAUUUGAAUUUGAUCAACGUAAUCAAGCAUCACUCGGACGACUUUUCCAGAGAGAUGUUGUAACCACGACAAUGUUAUCACUUCACAGAACUGAGGAAUAAAAUAACUAUAAGAGUAAAUACAAAUUAAAACUACACUGAAAUACAAUUUCACACCUGAGAGAAUGGCUUACAUCAACAAAUCAGGAAAUGGUGUUGGAGAGGUUGUAGAGAAAUAGGGAACUCUGCUACGUUGCUGGUGGAAAUGCAAACUAGUACAGUCCCUUUGGAAGACUGGACAGUUUUUAAAUAAAAAUGGAAUUACGUUAUUUCCUAGCAAUACCACUUUUAGGCAUGUCUCUAGUGGAUACUCAAUCACUAAUUAGAAGGGAUGCCUAAUGUUCAUAGCUGUGUUAUUCACAUAAGCCAAAGAGUGGAAGCAGCCUAAAUGCUCAUCAACAGAUGACUGGAUAAAGAAGUUAUGGGAUAUAUUCCAUGGAAUACUAUUCUGCAAUAAAAAAGAUACUGUGUCCUUUGGGACAAAAUGGAUAGAACUGGAGGUGAUUAUGCUUAGUGAAAUAAGUAAAGAUGAAAGACAACUACCAGAUGAUUUCACUCAUGUGGAAUUUAGAGACCUGAUUUACAUGAACUUGCCCAAAAAAAUCCAAACAAAACAGAAGCAAGCAAACUGUAAGACAGGAGAACUAUGGUGGUUAUCUUUGGGAUGUGGGAUGGUGAGGAUACAGAACUUUAGUGGUGGGUGUGGUGUGGAACUAUAUAGCACAAUCUUAUAAUAAACUUAAUAAAAUCAUUUUAAAAAGUUAAUAAAGAAUUAAGUAGAGUGAUUUAGCAUAGUAAUCAGAAAAGCACUAAACUGAGUCAGGAAGCAAAUGUUUUCAAAUUCCUUACAUAUAAACUAAAAUGUUGAACAGAAAAUAUUCUUUAUCCAUUUGGAAAAAUAUUUGUUGUGUCUUCAGGACUAUCUAAAAAGUAAUAAAGGCGUGAAAGA